CUACCACGGCAGCGCCGCCUGCAGCGAAGCCUACGACUGCACCACCUGCGACAGUUAGUGCUUCGGAAUAUGUGCGACAUCGGGUGUGUCCCAAGGGCGGCCCCAUAUGCGAACUAUAUUGCCAGCUCGAAGGAAGCCCGUUUGGCUACUGCUUCCCUGGUCAAAAUUUCUGUCAUUGCGUAAGCCCCGAAUUGCAAGAUGUUGCUGGUGCCGAUAAAACGUACAAGUAUUACUCUGACCGAGGAUACUAUGUUAAACAAUUGAACGACACAUACGGCUGUCCAAGGUUACACGACUGUGCCGUUGCUUGCCUCACGGAACACGGGGCCGCUUUUGCAGUUUGUGGCCGAAAUCCACCAAACCUCUGUUACUGCUACCUGAAUCGACAUUAAGGCUCUGCUUGGUGAUAAACGCACUACUCACUCGCGCCAGACACCGGGGUUAUGUAGCGACUAUCACAUACGAAUCGGAUCAGACUGAACGAAGUUACAAGCAUGCAGUUUCAAGCUUGCACUUCA